GCAUCUCCAUCAGAGCUCUUGGGUGAUGAGGUACGUUGUCAAUGAGCAGUAAUACAUAAAAAGGAAUCUUUGAACCAGAUGCAGUGGCUCACACCUAUAAUCCCAGUAACUCAGGAGGUUGAGGUGGGAAUCUGAGACCAGCCUGGGCAACAUAGUGAGAUCCCAUUUCUAAAAAAUUAUCCAGGGAGCAGUGUGAAGAAGAGGAGGUGAGAACGACCCCCAGACCGACCAAAGCCCACGCGCCACUGCAUCCCUGCGCCCAGUGCCCACGCCCAUGCCGCCGUCGCCACCAUGCCCAGGAGAAAGGCUGAAGGGGAUCAUGCUAAAGGAGAUAAAGCCAAGGCAAAGGACGAACCGCAGAGAAGAUCCGCAAGGUUGUCUGCUAAACCUGCUCCUCCAAAGCCAGAGCCCAACCUAAAAAGGCCCCUGCAAAGAAGGGAGAGAAGGGACCCAAAGGGAAAAAGGGAAAAGCUGACGCUGGCAAGGAGGGGGAUAACCCUGCAGAAAACGGAGAUGCCAAAACAGACCAGGCACAGAAAGCCGAAGGUGCUGGAGAUGCCAAGGGAAGUGUGUGCAUUUUUGAUAACUGUGUACUUCUGGUGACUGCACAGUUUGAAAUACUGUUUUUUAUCAAGUUUUAUAAAAAUGCAGAAUUUUGUUUUACUUUUUUUUUUUAAGCUAUGUUGUUAGCAUACAGAACACUUCAUUGUUGUUUUUGGGGGGAAGGGGCAUAUGUCACUAAUAGAAUGUCUCCAAAGCUAGAUCGAUAUGGGGAAAACACCUUCCCCUUCUAGUUUUGAGAGACUUCCUCUUGGCUCUCAGGAGGAGGGAUUCCCUGACAUUGACAUGUAGCUACCUUGGCACAAAUGCCUUGUUGUAUGGAAAAACUAAUUUGUUUUUAUGUCCUAUUCUCCCUCUCUGCCUUCAGCAUAGUCUUCACUUCCUUAAACCCAGACACCUCUUGGGGGCCUGCCCUCCAGUAAUUGCUUACCAGUAUGUCGGGUGAUCUGGGCUUUCCAGUGGCACCACUGAGAUGGCAUCCCUCAAAAGAGCCCCAGUUCCAUUUGUAGACUGUGGAUCUUCAGACAAAUUCUGCCAUUUUCAGUUCAUUUCCUGAAAGUCACAGUUGGCUUGUGAAAAGUUGCUAAACAACAUGCCAAAUGUGAAAUGUCAACCCUCACUCUAAACUUUCUCUGUUCAGAGCAUCAAAUGAAGACUUCAUUGGGUUUUAUAGUGGCUUUCUGAUUUUGGUAGACCAUUGAAGAAGGGAGUUUGAAAGUUGUUGUAUACUGUUAACGAUUGUCUGCCCAUGUCCUGCCUGAAAUACAUGAUUGUUUAUGAAAAGUGUCUUUAAUAAAGCUGGAUACAGUUUGGCUUGGAAAAA